AUAUUUACCUGGCAGGAGAGAUACCGUGAUCACAAAGGUGGUUUUUCCAGGGCGAGACUUAUCCAUUGUACUCUGGAUGUGCUGACCCUUGCAAUUUCCCCAAAUGUGGGAAACUUAACUGCAUAAUUUGUGGUGUGGGGGACUGUGUUCAUUUUCUCACU